GAUGAACGCUGGCGGCGUGCCUAAUACAUGCAAGUCGAGCGAACAGACGAGGAGCUUGCUCCUCUGACGUUAGCGGCGGACGGGUGAGUAACACGUGGAUAACCUACCUAUAAGACUGGGAUAACUUCGGGAAACCGGAGCUAAUACCGGAUAAUAUAUUGAACCGCAUGGUUCAAUAGUGAAAGACGGUUUUGCUGUCACUUAUAGACGGACCCGCGCCGCAUUAGCUAUUUGGUAAGGUAACGGCUUACCAAGGCAACGAUGCGUAGCCGACCUGAGAGGGUGAUCGGCCACACUGGAACUGAGACACGGUCCAGACUCCUACGGGAGGCAGCAGUAGGGAAUCUUCCGCAAUGGGCGAAAGCCUGACGAAGCAACGCCGCGUGAGUGAUGAAGGUCUUCGGUUCGUAAAACUCUGUUAUUAGGGAAGAACAAAUGUGUAAGUAACUAUGCACGUCUUGACGGUACCUAAUCAGAAAGCCACGGCUAACUACGUG
rnacentral:rRNA from 1 species